UUUAAGCAUUUAUUUCGCUAGAUGCGAGGCUAACUCUUCUCUCUUUCUCUCUCUAUCUUUCUAUAUAUACUAAAAUAUAUCCUAUUUUCGAAAGCCCCUCUAAAUAUGAACCACUUGAAACAUUUUUUUACAUUUUUUACGCUUUAAAAUUCGCUUUUUUCUCCGAUCGCCGUGUUUCUGGUAUCGUUCGAUGGCACUUGCGGUCCUGCGUCUUUUUCCGACCUCCGCUCGAAUUUUUCGCCGCUUCCGUUUUUUGCGAUCCGCGAUUUUCGAAAUUCCGUGGAACUUAAAACAACGCGAAAUAGGGGACGCGUCUCUUACUAGGGCGCUUGAGUUCCCGCCUUUUUGUCGUUAUCACCGCUUUUUGUUCGUCGUCCGCCGUUUUUACAUUGUUUUUGCGGGUAAUGCGCGUAUUUAUUAUUAGAAAAAACGAAACGCGUCGGUUUUCGUUUUGCCGUUUUAUUGCGAUCGCAACCGACCAAGUUAAAUAAUAACUGUCAAUAUUUUAACGAUGACAGAGGUGUUUUUUCCAUUGGAUUUUGUCAUUUUCAGACCACCUGUCGUGUGCCCGAGGACCGAUUUAUAUCGUUGGUAACAAACGCGUUUGUGGUCCCGUCGUAAUAGUUUUCUUGACGGUUGUCGUACAACUGUAACGACUGCAUUAAUUGUUUAAGGUGAUUUGUAAAUUUUGUAGUUCUACUGCUAUAUUGCCAUUUUUAAUAAUUGAAACGUGUGUGAUUGGCGGUGUUUGUUUUGUCCGGACGACUGAUCGAACGGCAGCUCGACCCAAUGUUGGCCAAGAGUACAGGCCCAUUUCAAUAAUGGAUUUAUUAAAUAGACUCUAUACCUGUUGUGCUAGGAUAACUGAUCUGGAGAUUAUUGGCAGUCAUCGCUAUUGGAUUUAUUAUUACAAGGAUAUUCAUUAAAAAAAAAUUAAUUGUCAUUUACUUUUCUUAAAUAUGUGCAACUGUUUUCCCCGGGUAACUGUGAUUGAAAAACUGCCAACCAACUAGAAGAGUGCUGCAUCUAAUUCAUAAUGGUUGUAUUACACAGGUCGGUUGAUAUUUUAUUUAUUGUUGAUUACAAUGUAAUAUGUACUGCAGCGGUCAAUACAAUCCAAACGUUUUUAAUUUUUUUUAGGCCUCUGGUAAAGCUACAAAAUUUUCAAUUCUGUCGUAUGCACGAUGUGUUGAUAGUGCUGUGGGUUUUUUUUUAGCCAGUGUUUGCCAUUCCUCCAAAAUGUUCCUCCUGUCAAACCUCAGUUCCUUAAGAUCAUGCCAUUCAACAACGUCAGAUGAUACUCUUCACAAUUACUAUGUGUAGUCUGCUCUCGGAGUUCAUCGAAAACUUUUAUUUCUUAUUUAAUUUCCAACGUAAUACUUUUACCUGUAUUAUUGUAUAGAUUUACGUUUUCGAACAAAAAUGUUUUAUGUGUGUGAUCGCGACAAUAAAGAAACAUGAUUUUUC